CAGCUGUGUGCGCCUGGACAUCUGGAGCUCAGCUCCGCCCUGGCGCCACGGGAAAGCUGUCUCCAAGUGGAGACUAAUCCCUGAAAGGGAUCCUCACGGUCAGCUCUUUCUCCGGAAGGCUCCAAGAGGAGCCCUGGUUCCCCAGGUACAUGGAGUCUCCUUUCUCCUGGUUCUGCCAUGCCCGCCAGCAGACACACCACACAGACAAGGACCAAGACGACUGCUUGCUCAGUUCUCACAGCUCUGCCAGCAGCUGUCAUGGGUCAUGCCCAGAUGGGGGUACUCCUUCUCAGGGAGUCAGGUUACUCGCCCAGGAUCAGACAGACAGAAGGUUCAACGGCCGGUUCACUGCAGAGAGAGUGGGGAGGGAGUGAGCUCGGGAUACCCUUCCAUUCCCGCCACGACUACCCGGCCCAGACCUCGCCCCUCCCCAAGCUUCAUCCUCCUGAGGAUCCUGCCUUUCCCUCUCUCCGGGAGUCUCACCUA